UCAACUUUACCCAAUCGUUCAUCGUAGGAAAUGAAGGAGUCGUCGGAUAAGUCACCGGUGCGGCGACAUGACACGGCGAAGCAUAACAACUCUGAGGCAGUGUCUUCUUCUAGUUCCUUCACUGAUACCGACUCGACUUGUUCCUUGGUGACGCCCUCAAUGGAGUUCCCGGACCGCAUCAGUUUCCGGGAAAUGGAUUUGGGAGAAGCAGGUCCUAGUGGUGUCGUUCUAGCUUCUAGUUCAACGAAUCGGGACGUUGCUGAGUUGACUCGUUCCGAGUCUGGGGAUUUUACUGAGUUGUUGAUGCCUUCCGAGUCGAACGAGGUUGGGAGUUUAAGUACUCCGGCACGAAAGCUUGUUCCCAAUGAAGAGAUUCCCCUUUCACCAUCUUCGCUGAUGGAUAGAAUUGUAGCUCUUAUGAAGAAAUCGUCGGGACGAAGAGGAGAUAAGACUAGUCCGGGCGGGAAGCUAAAGCGGAGUGUUGCGGCGAAGAAUAUCAAAUAUGAUGCAGCUGAAGAUCCUUCUUUGUUGACGACUCGUUCUUUGGAUUUCCUGAAUCGUACUAGUUUUCGAGUCGUAGGAAAUGAUGAAGGAGAAAUGGAUCGGAUUUGUAAUUAUUUUGGUGUUUCUCGUUCUGAAGAUUUUGCGAUUUCUUCUGAUGCUUGGGAAGCUCGUAAGAAGCGUUCCUCUUCAGAUGUUACUAAUGGGUUUAAGUCUCUUGACCUUGAUAGUAACAAGGUUCAGGCUCAGGAUUUGAGUGAACCAGGUCCUACUGGUGUUGUUCUUGAUGCUUCUAACUCAAUGAAUCUGGACAUUACUAAGUUAACCCCUUACGAUUCUAGGGAUAUUGCGGUUGCUGGUUGUGGUGGACUCAAGGGGGUAAGACCACCAGUACUAAACCUUCCCCCUGCGGAUAACAGAGUUGUUGAUGGUGGUAAGGUAGCGAAUAGGCGUGGUAUUGGUGGGGGUAUUAAGGGGGUAAGACCAUCAGUACUUAAGCCUCCUCCGGUGAUGAAGCUACCUCCACUUGAUCUUGCGGGAUCAUCUUGGGAUUUCCUUACUCAUUUUGCUCCUGAAAGCUCAACAGUUAGGCGGCCAAGUUCUUCUUCUUCUUCUUCCGAAAAUGGCUGUGAUGAAGAGGAAGUCCGGGGAGAUAUUUCUAUCGAGUUGGAGGAUAGGACUGAUGAGGCAUGCUCAUUCACUACAAACGAGUGUGACUCCUCAAGUACAGUAUCCAAUACCUCGCCUAUUUUUGUCUCCGGAGGACCUAUCAAUACUUCUUGGCAGAAGGGUCAACUUAUGCGACAAGGAUCAUUUGGCUCUGUGUAUGAAGCCAUCUCAGAAGAUGGGGACUUCUUUGCUGUCAAGGAAGUUUCACUUCUUAAUCAGGGAAGUCAGGCACAAGAAUGCAUACAACAAGUUGAAGAGGAGAUUGCACUACUUAGUCAGCUUCAGCAUCAGAAUAUUGUGCGAUAUCGUGGCUCAACCAAGGAAGGAUCGAAUUUGUACAUCUUUCUUGAGCUUGUAUCCCAAGGGUCCCUACUAAAACUCUACGAAAGAUACCAGCUUCGGGACUCUGUAGUCUCCUUGUACACAAGACAGAUUCUUGACGGUUUGAGAUAUCUCCACGAUAAAGGUCUUGUUCACAGGGACAUCAAAUGUGCAAAUAUAUUGGUGGACGCUAAUGGCGCCGUCAAACUUGCAGAUUUUGGAUUGGCAAAGGUGUCAAAGUUGAACGAUAGUAAGUCCUGCAAGGGAAAUCCAUUUUGGAUGGCUCCGGAGGUUAUUAACCCUAAGGGUAAUGAUGUGUAUGGAAGUCCAGCUGAUAUAUGGAGCCUUGGGUGCACUGUGCUCGAAAUGUGUACUGGCCAGAUCCCUUACUCUGAUCUACAACCGGUUCAAGCCCAUAUUAGGAUCGAAAUGGGUACGCUUCCAGACAUACCGGAUACUCUAUCGCUAGAUGCCCAGGAUUUCAUAGUUACAUGUCUGAAAGUGAACCCGGAAGAGCGGCCAACUGCAGCUGAACUGCUGAACCAUCCAUUUGUGAGAAGGCCCUUACUAUCCUCGGGCUCAGGAGGCUCAGUAUCUCCGCUUAUCCGUAGAUGAGGUGUAACCAGAAGAUUUAUGAGGGGUUUGGGUUGUGCAGGAAGAGCUAAACUGGCCUGGAGACAUAUCUUCAGGCUAUGCCUUACAAGAAAGAAAAUCGACUAAAGAUAUACAAAAUAUUCACAUGAGAUACGAUACGUGAUGUGCAAGAGAUAUGAAACUUGGAGAAGAAUGUCCGGUUUGGAUUUGAUGGUUCCAUCCGGUAUGAGUUUGAUGGUUCGAUUUGAUGGUUCGGUUUAAUACCCCCUCAAGUUGGAGCGUAUGGAUUACAAACGCCUAAGUUGGAUCGGAGAUAUUCGAACUCUCGCUGUCCAAGUCCCUUUGUAAAAAUGUCGGCUAACUGCUCAGCUGAGGCCACCUUCCGUGUAGAUAUCAACUUGUCUUGACUGCAUUGGGCACAUUAUGACAAUCAAUUUCAAUGUGCUUCGUUCUUUCAUGAAAAACUGGGUUUGCCGCAAUGUACAAUGCUGAUUGAUUGUCACACGCAAGGCUCAUCGGAGAAUCUUGUGUUACGCCUAAGUCCUUGAGUAAAGCUUUCAACCACUUCAGCUCGUCCACCGUCAAUGACAUACAACAAUACUUUGCUUCAGCUGAUGACCGAGAAACCACAUCCUGUUUCUUGGCUUUCCAUGAGAUUGGUGAGGAACCAAGAGUGACGAACCAACCACUAAGUGAUUUUCUUGUCAACUGACAUCCUCCAUGAUCAGAGUCACACCAUCCAUGUAACUAGAGAUCACAAUCAGAUUGAAGAAAAAUACCUUGUCCUGGAGUCCCCUUAAGAUAUUGAACAACCCGUUGAGCUGCCGCCCAAUGAUCUCUACGUGGUUCUUGCAUGAAUUUUGAUAAGAUAUGAACAACAUACGUAAGAUCAGGCCGUGUAGCUCCAAGAUAGAGUAAUCUCCCAACAAGUCUUCUAUACUUUUAUGGUUCUUCAAACCUCAAACUUGUAGACGAUUCCAACCCAUGUCCCUGUUCUAUCCAAAAACCCCAUUUCACUUAUAAUAUCAAGAGCAU